AUUGAACGCUGGCGGCAUGCUUUACACAUGCGAGUCGAACGGCAGCGCGGGCUUCGGCCUGGCGGCGAGUGGCGAACGGGUGAGUAAUGCAUCGGAACGUGCCCAGUAGUGGGGGAUAGCCCGGCGAAAGCCGGAUUAAUACCGCAUACGACCUGAGGGUGAAAGCGGGGGACCGAAAGGCCUCGCGCUAUUGGAGCGGCCGAUGUCGGAUUAGCUAGUUGGUGGGGUAAAGGCUUACCAAGGCGACGAUCCGUAGCUGGUCUGAGAGGACGACCAGCCACACUGGGACUGAGACACGGCCCAGACUCCUACGGGAGGCAGCGGUGGGGAAUUUUGGACAAUGGGGGCAACCCUGAUCCAGCCAUGCCGCGUGCGGGAAGAAGGCCUUCGGGUUGUAAACCGCUUUUGUUCGGGAAGAAAUCCUCUGGGCUAAUACCCCGGGGGGAUGACGGUACCGGAAGAAUAAGCACCGGCUAACUACGUG
rnacentral:rRNA from 1 species